AUUGAACGCUGGCGGCAUGCUCUACACAUGCAAGUCGAACGGUAACAGGUUAAGCUGACGAGUGGCGAACGGGUGAGUAAUGCAUCGGAACGUGCCCGAUCGUGGGGGAUAACGCAGCGAAAGCUGCGCUAAUACCGCAUACGAUCUGAGGAUGAAAGCGGGGGACCGUAAGGCCUCGCGCGAUCGGAGCGGCCGAUGUCAGAUUAGGUGGUUGGUGGGGUAAAGGCUCAACAAGCCAACGAUCUGUAGCUGGUCUGAGAGGACGACCAGCCACACUGGGACUGAGACACGGCCCAGACUCCUACGGGAGGCAGCAGUGGGGAAUUUUGGACAAUGGGCGAAAGCCUGAUCCAGCAAUGCCGCGUGCAGGAAGAAGGCCUUCGGGUUGUAAACUGCUUUUGUACGGAGCGAAAAGGCUCUCUCUAAUACAGGGGGCUCAUGACGGUACCGUAAGAAUAAGCACCGGCUAACUACGUGCCAGCCGCCGCGGUAA
rnacentral:rRNA from 1 species